AUGCUCACUUCAGCAGCACAUAUACUAAAAUUGGAAUGAUACAGAGAAGAUUAGCACGGCCCCUGCACAAGGAUAACACGCAAAUUUGUGAAGCAUUCCAUGUUUGU
ensembl:snRNA U6 U6 spliceosomal RNA